rnacentral:rRNA from 1 species
GUAGGUGGCAAGCGUUGUCCGGAAUUAUUGGGCGUAAAGCGCGCGCAGGCGGUCCUUUAAGUCUGAUGUGAAAGCCCACGGCUCAACCGUGGAGGGUCAUUGGAAACUGGGGGACUUGAGUGCAGAAGAGGAGAGUGGAAUUCCACGUGUAGCGGUGAAAUGCGUAGAGAUGUGGAGGAACACCAGUGGCGAAGGCGACUCUCUGGUCUGUAACUGACGCUGAGGCGCGAAAGCGUGGGGGGAGCGAACAGGAUUAGAUACCCUGGUAGUCCACGCCGUAAACCGAUGAGUGCUAAGUGUUAGAGGGUUUUCCGCCCCCCUUUAGUGCUGCAGCUAACGCAUUAAGCACUCCCGCCUGGGGAGUACGGUCGCAAGACUG